AGCAGCCGCGGUAAUUCCAGCUCCAAUAGCGUAUAUUAAAGUUGUUGCAGUUAAAAAGCUCGUAGUUGAAUUUCGGAAUCAAUAUGUCGGUCGUGCUUCGGUACGUACUGGUAUCAUUGGUUUCUCCUUUCUGACGAGCCAUGAUGUCAUUAAUUUGGUGUUAUGGGGAGUUAGGACUGUUACUUUGAAAAAAUUAGAGUGUUUAAAGCAGGCUUUAGCUUGAAUACAUUAGCAUGGAAUAAUGAAAUAGGACGUUCGAACCUAUUUUGUUGGUUUCUAGGAUCAACGUAAUGAUUAAUAGGGAUAGUUGGGGGCAUUAGUAUUCAAUUGUCAGAGGUGAAAUUCUUGGAUUUAUUGAAGACUAACUACUGCGAAAGCAUUUGCCAAGGAUGUUUUCAUUAAUCAAGAACGAAAGUUAGGGGAUCGAAGACGAUCAGAUACCGUCGUAGUCUUAACCAUAAACUAUGCCGACUAGGGAUCGGAUGAUGUUAAUUUUUUAAUGACUCAUUCGGCGCCUUACG
rnacentral:rRNA from 1 species